rnacentral:lncRNA from 1 species
CACAAACACAGCACAGAUAAAAACAACACGUUCUUAAAGUUUCUUGUUCCUCCAAGAAUAAGAGGUGCUGGUUUAAUCUACAUCUCAGGUCAUCCAAGAAAAAAGUUCCGUGUUGGAUCCCCAUCUGCUCUACAACAAUCUGGAUGUUUGUCUCAGAGCUAUCUAAGACUUUCCUUGUGAGACUGCAAUCUCUGUGCUGACUCACUGGUGAAGGAGGAGAAGCUUUUUGCACAAGGUUUCAUACACAGCUCAGUUCUGGAUGUCCAUGCCAAAAUUACACUUUUUUUAACUUACACCAGAAGAUGAUUAGAGCUCACAUGUGAUCUUCCAUCUGACAAUCAGUUUAUAGAGACAUCUGACCAGAGACUUGAUGCAAAGCCAGCUGGAAGAAGUGGUAUCUUACAC